rnacentral:pre_miRNA from 1 species
UAUAAUUUUUGACUGUUCGUUUUAUUAAAAAAAUUUUGCAAUUGAUAUUUUUGUUUUUAUUGGAUGAUAAAUCAUAAAUAGUAUUUUACGUGUGACUAAUUUUUUUCUAAUUUUCUGAAAAUUCUUUAAAUAAGACUGGAUGGUCAAACAUUGGACACGAAAACCGA